rnacentral:rRNA from 1 species
CGCGUAGGCGGUGUCUUAAGUGGGAUGUGCAAUCCCCGGGCUUAACCUGGGAACUGCAUCCCAGACUGGGACGCUGGAGUGCUGGAGAGGGUGGUGGAAUUCCACGUGUAGCGGUGAAAUGCGUAGAGAUGUGGAGGAACACCAGUGGCGAAGGCGGCCACCUGGACAGCAACUGACGCUGAGGCGCGAAAGUGUGGGUAGCAAACAGGAUUAGAUACCCUGGUAGUCCACGCUGUAAACGAUGAACACUUGGUGUGGCGGGAGUUGACCCCUGCCGUGCCGUAGCUAACGCGAUAAGUGUUCCGCCUGGGGAGUACGGUCGCAAGGCUGAA